GAAGGAAUGACAGUAACUGAUCGAAUCCCCACUUGUUGAGGAUAAAUCAUUCAAGUUUCUGCCCUAUCAGCUUUCGAUGGUAGUGUAUUGGACUACCAUGGCGGUAACGGGUAACGGAGAAUUAGUGUUCGAUUCCGGAGAGGGAGCCUGAGAAACGGCUACCACAUCUAAGGAAGGCAGCAGGAGCGUAAAUUACCCAAUGUCGACUCGAUGAGCGUAGUGACAAUACAUAACAAAGAGGGGAUUUUUUAUCUUACUCUAUUGCAAUGAGGCAUGUUUAAUAACCUGUUCGAGCAACCAGUGAAGGGCAAGUCUGGUGCCAGCAGCCGCGGUAAUUCCAGCUUCACGAGUGUAUAUUUAAGUUGUUGCAGUUAAAAAGCUCGUAGUUGAAGUUCUGCUGAUUUUGCCAGCACUUUUCGUGAUGGUAGGAUGAGCAUCCGCCUGAAAAACUAUUCGGAUCUUCACUGAUUCAAUAGUGGAUCAGGCAUUUUACUUUGAAAAAAUUAGAGUGUUCAAAGCAGGCAGCAGCCUGAAUACAUUAGCAUGGAAUAAUGGAAUAGGACGCUGUCCAUUUUGUUGGUUAUUGGAUUGCGUAAUGAUUAAUAGGGACAGUCGGGGGCAUUUGUAUUUAAUUGUCAGAGGUGAAAUUCUUGGAUUUAUUAAAGACAAACUUAUGCGAAAGCAUUUGCCAAGGAUGUUUUCAUUAAUCAAGAACGAAAGUUAGAGGAUCAAAGACGAUCAGAUACCGUCCUAGUUUUAACUAUAAACUAUGCCGACUCGGUCUUCGUCAAGUCUUUAUAACUUGAUGGGUGCCGUAUGAGAAAUCAAAGUCUUUGGGUUCCGGGGGGAGUAUGGUCGCAAGUUUGAAACUUAAAGGAAUAGACGGAACAUCACUACCAGGUGUGGAUCCUGCGGCUUAAUUUGACCUAACACGGGGAAACUUACCAGCGCAAAACAAGGGUGGGAUUGACAGAUUGAGAGCUCUUUCUUGAUUCUUUGGAUAGUGGUGCAUGGCCGUUCUUAGUUGGUGGAGUGAUUUGUCUGCUUAAUUGCGUUAACGAACGAGACCUCAACCUACUUACUAGACACGCGAUUCACCAUCGCGCGCUCUUCUUAGAGGGACUGUGUGGAGACAAACACAAGGAAGUUUGAGGCAAUAACAGGUCUGUGAUGCCCUUAGAUGUGCUGGGCCGCACGCGGGAUACAAUGACCCGUUCAGAAAGUACUACCUGACCCGGAAGGGAGUGGGUAAUCUUUUUAAUGCGGGUCGUGCUAGGGAUCGAUCUUUGCAAUUAUAGAUCUUGAACGAGGAAUACCUAGUAAGUGCAAGUCAUCAGCUUGUACUGAUUACGUCCCUGGUGUUUGUACUCACCGCCCGUCGCUCCUACCAAUUUCGAAUGAUCCGGUGAACCUUUUGGAUUGGGCGCAAGCCUGAGAAGUUAAGUAAACCUUAUCAUUUAGAGGAAGGAGAAGUCGUAACAAGGUU
rnacentral:rRNA from 1 species